rnacentral:rRNA from 1 species
GACGAACGCUGGCGGCGUGCUUCAUACAUGCAAGUCGAACGAGGUCCAACUGGUAGCAAUACCGGUGAAGACCUAGUGGCGAACGGGUGAGUAACACGUGAGGAACCUGCCCCGAAGACCGGGAUAACAGUGGGAAACCGCUGCUAAUACCGGAUACCCCCACCGGAUCGCAUGGUCUGGUGAGGAAAUGGAUUCCGCUUCGGGAGGGCCUCGCGGCCUAUCAGCUUGUUGGUGGGGUAANGGCCUACCAAGGCGACGACGGGUAGCUGGUCUGAGAGGACGAUCAGCCACACUGGGACUGAGACACGGCCCAGACUCCUACGGGAGGCAGCAGU